rnacentral:rRNA from 1 species
AAGGGCACGCAACGCUUGCUCGCUCGCUUCGGAAACGGGAGCUCGCUGCGGUGUGGUCUGAGAAGCGGGAGCGUCGGCGGCGGCUAGGGGAGGGAGUUUGCGGCGGCGGGCAGCAACGGCGGGGGCGGUGGAGGGCAGCGCCCGUCCGCCCUCCUCGGGACGGGCCGGUACCGCUGUGGCUGCCGCCGGAGGAGGAGGGGGAGUGGAAGAGAGGGAGAGGGUUCCCUCCCUUCCCUUACCUUCCCUAGACUAACCUCGCCACCUAGACGCGGGAACGGCAGAGAAGAAAAGAAGUGGCUAAGGUGCUCCUCUAGCUUCACCCUCCAUCUGCUCGUCCUCGCGGCGCAGGCGCUGUCGCUACUCGCUGCUGGGUCCAAGAGGAGAGGGUACCGUCCCCAGCCGCUCACCGUUGUCUACGCCCUGUGGUUGACCACCGCGUUGCCUGUCGCUCUCCGCCCUGUGGUUGACCCGCGCGGAGAGCGCCGGCUGAAGGUGCCGCCGCUGCAGCAAAUGGAACCGCGGACGAAGAAAAGGCUGAGUCGCUAGGGGCGCCCGUGGCUACCUGCCGCUGCCCGUCGUGCACGCCGGCGCCUCGGCGCGCGAGGACUGGCUGCUGCUCCUACUGCCCUGCAUGCGGCCGCUGCACAUGUCGCCGUCGGAGCGGCGGUGCCCGCCCAGAGCACGACCGACCUAGAACCCCGCCAUCGUCAUGAACCACGUCGCGGCGGCGCCGCUGAUGCCGUCGCAGCCCCAGCAGCAGCAGGAGUAGGCGUGUCCCUUCGACCUGACCCUCCAAACGACGAAGGCCAGCCGUCUGCUACCGAUACUGCGAUACGGGUCGUGCUCACGAUUGCGGUAGUGCCGGCCGUGGUGACCGUGUUGUCGGCAAGCCACACGAGAGGCCCUACGACGUCAGCUUCCCAGCUCGUCCUCGAUACCUACGGUCGUUUGUUCGGACACGUCUGCCGUUACGUAGUUAGUUUAGCCUACCUCUUGUAGUGUGUUGUCCUGUAUUUCUUUUACCACCGUGAAACCCAAAACUUCUGCGGCGGAGCGCAUCCUGAUGUUUGUACCCUGCGAGCCAGCUCAAAAAGAAUUGAGCAGUCCUAAGAGUACGACGUUUAAAUCAUUGUCCCUUUUAAAAACCCACAGGACUACACAUACGCCUAACUACUUUUAAACCGCUCCCUCUAGUAUUUGGUAGCGAGCGACGUCGUGUAGUUAACAACUUAAGCAAACUUCCUCGACAGUUAACAACUUAAGCGAACUUCCUCUACCUCGAACAAACCGACUUAAACGAUGACUCAACGGUGUAAAACUCCCGGACGUUAACUUCUUAUGUUGUGAACUCUAUUGUUAACUUCUUAUGAUCUCAUUAUUAUUGAUGACGUUCUCACUACAUAAAAGAAAAACAACCUCUAAAAGACGUAGAAAAUACCUGCCAUUGUAAACUCUAUUGUUAAACUACACGAUUGGUAGUUCUAGUUGAAGCUGUACAAACCAGAGAUUUUCAAUGAUAACUGGUAGUAACCACGUAGGAUAUUCUUCCCCUUUUAUUUCGUAAUUACACCUCAUACAAGGUUACCUUUAGAAGUCCUUGUGGAACUUCCAGACUCACGUUAAAAAGAAAUCAAGAGACACUCGAAUUUUUACGUUGACCACACCGGGUACGUUGACUCUAAUUUUUGUACCUCUUCUUAGUAUUUUCUAGAGCGACUUUUACAGGAGCAAGGCGUGAAGCACACCUGUCCAUCGCGGGAAAUGGAAGCUUCAGAGCUUUUUAACAGACCCACUACGCCCACGGAGUUACGAACUACGGUACAAGACAUUCUCCGGUUCCAAUUACACACUGAUAGUGCAAGGGGUGGUUCACUUUACACGAUAAAGUGGUGUUUGUAACUGCUUCAAUUCAAGUCACUUACCGCUUUUUAAAUAGUUUCAACGACUCCAAGUCCCCAGACUUUAAUUCGGUAAACACCUAUCAAAUAGAUUUACGGGUUUUGGGUGAAUCUCGAGGUCUCUCCAGAACAAAAGAACAUGAUACCUAAAUUCCACUAAGAGUUCUCCUUGUUCAGCGGUACCUGGCUACUCUAGCUCUCUGCCGAGGCGCUAACGCACCUCACCGCCGACUCUCCUCUCCGUUGUUGUUGAGCAACAAGCACUGCCGGGCUCGCAAACGCUCUCCCCUACCUCGCCCCCAACGUAACAGUGCCGGUCAACGGUAUCACCUACCUCACCACCGGCGUGCCUGCGCGAGGACCUCCACGGCCAUACGUGGGACUAAAACUCGGACCCUCCAAGGAACGAGACGGGAUAGGAGUUCCCACAAGUAGAUGAAGCCAUAGCACGAGACCUCAGUCCUGCUACGUGAUUACGUCCAAACCAAGAAAUGAAAAAGUAAAUAAAACAAACAUACGUAUAGGGACUUAAAACACUCGGCACUAAAUUUACAACAGCACACACGGUAACACAGGAUAUAUUAAUAAGAUAACUUCGUGGUGACGUUGGGUCAAACAAAUAGUUUAACUACGUUCUUUGUUUGAUUAUGUAUCUUUCAUAUUUAAAUAACGUAAUUAGACAUAUAGGGACGUGGAUCUCUAUCCAUCUCUACCUAUUUAAAACAUCGAAAAACAAGGGUCAAAAAGGAUAACUUUAAUACCUAAACCUUCGAUUAGUACCUCACAAAGCUAACGGACGAAUGCCUAAGCGUUACUCGUGUUCAGACGUUGGAACUUCCUUUUGGGCAACGUUGACUACUGUAUUAUAAUGCAGCGUUGUUCUUACAUAUCUCGACGUUUCGAGACACCUAGGAAGAGAAGUGUUUUCGGAACCCCGCACCUACCGUUCUUCGCCUCCGCACACGGAUCUCAUCGCCUGGUACUACCUAACUACUCGACUACAGUGCACUGCAUGAGUGCACCGCCGACCAAUCCGAGACCGCCGACCUCGGUAGUAGCUGGUACUACGGUGCGGUCCUCGUGUUCCCGAUUCUGCUCCUGUACAACCACGGCUACUUUAUUCCACAACGGCCAACUGCCCCCGGAUUGGUACUCAGAUUGACUUUCACUUGCCCUCGCUACACGUCUUUUUUUAGAAUCGUGUAUCCGACUUAAACAUAUCAUUAAACUUAAAUAAUCCGUCAUGGGGGAGGUAAACAUAUAGUGAAGGCUUAUGUUCAAGUCCAAUAAUCCGUCAUGAUAACUUAAAUUCCUAACUAUGAACUUCUAAAAUUCCAAUGAUUUAAAUUAAAUUAAAAAACUGUCGUCCAAUGAUUUAAAACAUGGUUCAGAUGACAAUACAUACCCUUCUUGUACGCGAUUUUAUAACUAUUACGUUUACUUUCACUAGCAAACUAAUAAUUUAGUACG